rnacentral:tRNA from 1 species
GGGGCUGUAGCUCAGUGGUUGAGUGCUUGCCUUACAUGCAUGUGGCACUGGGCUCAAUCCUCAGCACCACA